UUUCCAAUCAGUUCAACAACCGGAUAGGUCAGAACAUGAGAGUCUUAAUCUCAGGGUUGUGGGUUUGAGCCCCACGUUGGGCAA